GGUGAGGUGCCUGAGUUUUAGGGGGUAGAUUGUAAAUCUAUUUACGGGAUUAUUUCUCUCUUACUA
rnacentral:tRNA from 1 species